rnacentral:rRNA from 1 species
UCAGACGAUGCGUCAUGCAUAUCAAUAAGCGGAGGAAAAGAAACUAACAAGGAUUCCCCUAGUAACGGCGAGUGAAGCGGGAAGAGCUCAAAUUUGAAAUCUUAAAGGGUUUCCCUUUACGAAUCGUAGUUUAAAGAAGUGUUUUCUGUUGAGGUUUUGGUAAAAGUUCUUUGGAAUAGGACAUCAUAGAGGGUGAGAAUCCCGUAUUUGACCUUUACUUUCAACUUUGUGAUACACUUUCAAAGAGUCGGAUUGUUUGGGAAUGCAGUCCAAAAUGGGUGGUAAAUUUCAUCUAAAGCUAAAUAUUGGCGAGAGACCGAUAGCGAACAAGUACCGUGAGGGAAAGAUGAAAAAAACUUUGAAAAGAGAGUUAAACAGUACGUGAAAUUGUCAAAAGGGAAGCGUUUGACACCAGUGUUGUUUUUCUGAAAAUCAAUUAAAGAACUGUUUAUGCUAAGCUGUUUAGACUUUAUCAGCUAUCUGUUUAGUUUUGAGCUUUUCUUUAAUGCACUUUUCAGUUAACAAGUCAACAUCAAUUUCUUUUGCUGUAAAAAAGCUUGAGGAAGGUGGCUUGAGAUUCGUCUUAAGUGUUUAUAGCCUCUUGCCUAUGCAGUCGGAGAGAUUGAGGUCUGCAGCGUAGAUCCUUCGGGGCUAAAUGCAUUUGUGCUAAGUUAUAGCAUUUUAUAGACAACUUGUUGACUAUGACUUGUCUUGUAGCUUACUCGCUUAUGUUAUUUUACCUACGCUUAGGAUGUUGACACACGCGCGUGCUCG